rnacentral:rRNA from 1 species
AACGAACGCUGGCGGCAGGCUUAACACAUGCAAGUCGAGCGACCCGCAAGGGGAGCGGCAGACGGGUGAGUAACGCGUGGGAACGUGCCCUAAGGUUCGGAAUAGCUCCGGGAAACUGGAAUUAAUACCGAAUGUGUCCGUGAGGAUAAAGAUUUAUCGCCUUAGGAUCGGCCCGCGUUGGAUUAGCUAGUUGGUGGGGUAAAAGCCUACCAAGGCGACGAUCCAUAGCUGGUCUGAGAGGACGACCAGCCACACUGGGACUGAGACGCGGCCCAGACUCCUACGGGAGGCAGCAGUGGGGAAUCUUGGACAAUGGGCGCAAGCCUGAUCCAGCCAUGCCGCGUGGAUGAUGAAGGCCUUAGGGUUGUAAAAUCCUUUCGUCGGGGACGAUAAUGACGGUACCCGAAGAAGAAGCUCCGGCUAACUUCGUGCCAGCAGCCGCCGUAAGAC